AUUGAACGCUGGCGGCAGGCUUAACACAUGCAAGUCGAGCGGGCGAGGUUGCUUCGGUAACUGAGCUAGCGGCGGACGGGUGAGUAAUGCUUAGGAAUCUGCCUAUUAGUGGGGGACAACAUUCCGAAAGGAAUGCUAAUACCGCAUACGCCCUACGGGGGAAAGCAGGGGAUCUUCGGACCUUGCGCUAAUAGAUGAGCCUAAGUCAGAUUAGCUAGUUGGUGGGGUAAAGGCCUACCAAGGCGACGAUCGGUAGCGGGUCUGAGAGGAUGAUCCGCCACACUGGGACUGAGACACGGCCCAGACUCCUACGGGAGGCAGCAGUGGGGAAUAUUGGACAAUGGGCGCAAGCCUGAUCCAGCCAUGCCGCGUGUGUGAAGAAGGCCUUUUGGUUGUAAAGCACUUUAAGCGAGGAGGAGGCUACCGAGAUUAAUACUCUUGGAUAGUGGACGUUACUCGCAGAAUAAGCACCGGCUAACUCUGUGCCAGCAGCCGCGGUAAGAC
rnacentral:rRNA from 1 species